AGCGGCAUACAAGGUCAGUAAUCUUGUUAGUUAAUAUAACGUGAUUUAAUUGCUAUUUAAUUAAAAACAUAUGGACCUAUAAGAUGAAGUUUACAUUAUGUUUUAAAGCAGAACAGAACGUCACACCUGAAUACAAUAAUGAUGUCAUCACUGAUGGACUAACAGCAGAUCAUCAGACAGUGGACGUGUCAGAGAAUUAUGAUGAUGUCAUCAUUAUUAGACAGAACAUUCAAGAUAUAAAUGACUAUGAGGAUAUAAUAGAGGAGACAAAUACAGAGGGAGGGUCUGUUUGACUCAAUGACCACAGCCAACGCCCAUUUUCAUCAAAAUCUUAUCAAGUGUCUGACAUUUAAGUGAUUUGAUAUUGCUACUAAAUCUUCAGUGCCUUGUUUUUACUGCCAUAUCAAAUGUUUUACCAAGAAUAACUUUAGUAUAUCGGCUUAUAAUGCAUUUUAUUCAGUGUAUCAUCUUAUAAUACAUUUUAAUCUUGAUUAUAUUGGCUUAUAAAACAUUUACAUUUUUGUGUAUCGGCUCAUUUUUGUGCUCUUUGAUCUAAUAAACAAACCAAAGAUUAAAUAUUUCAUUUUUGGUUUUAUUUACAAAUAUUAAUAAAUAAAGUGCUCUGCAACAACUGUACAACCAUCAAAUGUCAG